AUGAACGCUGGCGGCGUGCCUAAUACAUGCAAGUCGCGCGAACGGACGAGAAGCUUGCUUCUCUGAUGUUAGCGGCGGACGGGUGAGUAACCCGUGGAUAACCUACCUAUAAGACUGGGAUAACUUCGGGAAACCGGAUCUAAUACCGGCUAAUAUUUUGAACCGCCUGGUUCAAAAGUGAAAGACGGUCUUGCUGUCACUUAUAGAUGGAUCCGCGCUGCAUUAGCUAGUUGGUAAGGUAACGGCUUACCAAGGCAACGAUGCAUAGCCGACCUGAGAGGGUGAUGGGCCACACGGGAACGGAGACACGGUCCAGACUCCUACGGGAGGCAGAAGUAGGGAAUCUUCCGCAAUGGGCGAAAGCCGGACGGAGCAACGCCGCGUGAGUGAUGAAGGUCUUCGGAUCGUAAAACUCUGUUAUUAGGGAAGAACAUAUGUGUAAGUAACUGUGCACAUCUUGACGGUACCUAAUCAGAAAGCCACGGCUAACUACGUG
rnacentral:rRNA from 1 species